CUCUGGUGGGUGCGCAGGCAGGCGGCACCCAUGCUCUGCGAGGGGACUCCCACGCACCCAUGCAAGGGGGGCCCACACCCCAUGCAAGGGGGGCCCCACGACCUCUAUGCACCCUGCACAGAGACCCCCGUGCAAGGGGACACGCGCCGAUCAGGCGCCCGUGGCCGCCCCGCGUGGGGAGCCCACGCCGCCGGGAUUGUGCUCGGCAGUGGCCGGGGACGUGGUGCCACCUCGCGGCCCGGGCAGCCCCGGGACCAGCCGGUCCCGUCCCGUCCCUCCCCGGGGCUGCCGGGUGCUGCCGUUCCCACCCCAGAAGCGGCUGCACCGAGACGCCCGGGGCAAGAGGCGAGUCAGUGGCUGGGCAUCAUCCGGCGCGGAGUUACCGGCGGGAAGGGGGAAAAAGAAAAAGAAAAAGAAAAAGAAAAAGAAAAAGAAAAAGAAAAAGAAAAAGAAAAAGAAAAAGAAAAAGAAAAAGAAAAAGAAAAAGAAAAAGAAAAAGAAAAAGAAAAAGAAAAAGAAAAAGAAAAAGAAAAAGAAAAAGAAAAAGAAAAACCUCGGUGGGUGAAGGCAAGGGGAGGUGUGUGACACCCCCCCAGCCACCGCAAGCCGGGUCUGGUGCCGCUGCCGGGGAAUUCUGCCCGACAAAAGCAGCCGCUUCAGCUCACCGAGGCAUCACCGCGCACCCCAGCCCGGCCGCGGCACGCUGCGGGCUCGCCGAGCGGCCAGUGACCCCGCGUGGAAGAACGGGCGGAUUGUCUUUCAAACGGAGCCGAUGCGGAGCUUGAAUGUCCCUUGCCACCUUGGCUAUAAAUCAUCCUGCAUGUGAUAAGAAGAUGCUGGAUGGAGUUCCAUCAGCUGGAGUGAAAACCAGCUCCUGCCUUUCUGCUCUCCCCUGUGCACACAGGUUCUUUCCCCAGAGGGUCAGCUAAGGGUGCCUAGAAGCUGGGGAAAGGAUCUUCUGUUGGCAUCACUGUUGGCAUCACCCCUCUUCGCAGGCAGGAGAUUUGUAGUGAGUGCAUGGGGUGAGACCACAAAACCCAGACUGUCUCCCCAAACCGGUGUUUCAGUACUUAUUGCUGUAAUGUGGUGACGGGUCGAGUCAAUGUCUGGGACUCUUGGAGUCUGUGAACAUCCCUGGGGAAAACAGCUACAGACGAGAGCAGCUAAAGGUGUGCACAACCAACCAACCCAAUUCAGUUCCUUUACAGAUGAGUUCUCUCUGGCAUUCAGACAUGCUGCCUCCUUCUUGUCUGGUCUUGAGGGAGAGAGUAGCCAAACGUUGAGGAAGAGGCCCAGCUCUGUGUCCCAGGCAGCUGCUCAGCCUUUCAAAGCACUCAGACAAGCCUGACCGUCCACCAGACGCUGGCAGAGCUGCUCCUGCAGGCCGUGACAGCGGGAGAAGUCACUCUUGGUGGGGAACCAGUGCAAAGGACUCCAUUCCUCCGGAGGGGUUUUGGAUACUCACACUGCUUGGGGGCCACUGAAACCAGCGGCAAGGAUGGAAAAACAAAGCAGACGAAUUUUGUAUCCCAAAGAGCUUUUAUGACAGCCCGGGCUUGCGCUGAGCUCUGUUCAAACAUCCACCCAGAGGUUAGGACAGCAGGCACUUCACUCUGAAGUGCCCCACAGACCGGCUCAUUCCUGGAGGCAUUGGUUUGUCCCCAGCAACAUCAGAGCUCAGCCCUCCACCGGCUAUCAGCACAGUAAGCACACAGCAAACAGAGGAACAGCAUCACGCAGGAAUGGGAAGGGGACAGAAUUCCGAAAUGGAAACAAACCCACAUCACUGCACCUCCCACAGAAAGGCGACGGAGCCCCGGGGGCAGCACUGCUGGAAGAGUCAAAAUUCCGGCCUCAGGGGACCUACUCUGCGUUUUCUGACUUACGCGGCACAGUACCGUCCACCUGG